GACUGGCAGAUUAUUGCAAAAGGGCACGGGGCAGAGGGACUAUGUUGUGAGCCUGCGAAAGAAGUUUGUGUGGGGACUGUGGGCAGUGAACGCGUUGGGAACAAUAUGGAAAACUGGGAGCCGCCUUGGAAUCUACAGGGCCGGACUUCAAUCCAACAGGACCCACUCGAGCCAUCCACACUUGCCCCAGCCUCCUCCAAAACAGCACACUUUCCGGCUGAAGAAAAGAAGAAUGGUAUUCACGCAGUUCCCAUUUUACAGAUGAAAACAAGAGGACUUUUUCUGUGAAGUCAAGAAAGUGGUUACAAUGGUACUUUCAGCCUGUCCGAAUUAUGUAUUGCCCCUCCCCUUUUUAUUAAUAACAUUGAAGUGUGAUGGGACAACCACUGAAGCCGUCAGUUGAAACCUGCUGGGACUUUUUAGCCAUUCUCUUCAACAUAAAGAAUGGGUGUUUUUGGAGGGGGUGAGAGGAAUGGGGAAAUGUUGUCAAAGAGUACAACGUUUUAGUUGAGACAGGAAGAAUAUAUUUUGUUGAGAUCUACAGCACAGCAUGGUGACUGUAGUUAACAAUGAAGUAUUGUCUAUUUCCAAAUUGCUAAGACAAUAAAUUUCAAAUGUUCUCACCACAAAAAA
rnacentral:lncRNA from 1 species